rnacentral:rRNA from 1 species
UACGUAGGGGGCAAGCGUUGUCCGGAUUUAUUGGGCGUAAAGAGCGUGUAGGCGGCCGUACAGGUCAGCUGUGAAAACUCGAGGCUCAACCUCGAGACGUCGGUUGAAACCGUGCGGCUAGAGUCCGGAAGAGGAGAGUGGAAUUCCCGGUGUAGCGGUGAAAUGCGCAGAUAUCGGGAAGAACACCCGUGGCGAAGGCGGCUCUCUGGGACGGUACUGACGCUGAGACGCGAAAGCGUGGGGAGCGAACAGG